CCCCCCCCCCCACCCCCAUUCUUGCCCACUUAUGCCGAGGUUGCCAGUGGCAGCUGGGUCCGGCUGGGAAGUGUCGACCGGGGUCGCUCGGCGAAAGGAGCCUGCCCGGGCGUUCUAGGGGGCGCCGGGGAAACACCCCUUACGCCAGGCAAAUCCCUGGCCCCGCAGAGAAGACACCGCUCCCGGCUCCCCGCUCCGUCCUCUGCACCACCGCGGGCGAAGGGCCCCCGAUGCCGUGAGGUCCUGUCUAAGGCUUCCAACAAGAAUCUGCAACACUGAGUUCUGGGGGGGGUCACCUUUACUUUGCCAGAACCACACUUUCCAGGUAUAGAAGGACAGCUCGGAGGAGAACUGAAAACUAGACAGCAUUUUGUCUAAGCACCUGAUUUUCUCACAAGGAAACUGAGGUGUAGGCCUGUUAGAGCUCAGUAACUGGCUAGCUGAGGUCUUCAGGCUCUUGGCUCAGUGCCUUUUCCAUGGUCCCGAGCCGUCUCCUGGUCAAGUUGUGCUGCAGCAGCAUUGCUAGCUGUGUGAUCAGCUAACUCCUCGUGAAAAAGGAACUUGUGUGUCUCUCAGAAAGGUAUUUGUGAACACACUAAAAACGAAUGGAACUGUAUCUACUUUAAAAGGAUGUCGCAACGUGGUGAAUGCCCUAAAAACCACUGAGCUGUAUAUACUUUAAAAGGAUGAAUUUUAUAGUAUUUGAAUUGUAUCGCAAUGUAAAAAAUAACCUUCGUAGUAAAAAAGUUGAAAUAUGUA